UACGAAGGGGGCUAGCGUUGCUCGGAAUCACUGGGCGUAAAGGGUGCGUAGGCGGGUCUUUAAGUCAGGGGUGAAAUCCUGGAGCUCAACUCCAGAACUGCCUUUGAUACUGAGGAUCUUGAGUUCGGGAGAGGUGAGUGGAACUGCGAGUGUAGAGGUGAAAUGCUUAGAUAUGACAUAGAACACCAAUUGCGUAGGCAGCUUACUACACGAUCAUUGACGCUGAGGCACGAAAGCGUGGGGAGCAAACAGG
rnacentral:rRNA from 1 species